CCUACGGGAGGCAGCAGGGAGGAAUAUUGGUCAAUGUACGAGAGUCUGAACCAGCCAAGUAGCGUGAAGGAUGACUGCCCUAUGGGUUGUAAACUUCUUUUAUAUGGGAAUAAAAUGUUCCACGUGUGGGAUGUUGUAUGUACCAUAUGAAUAAGGAUCGGCUAACUCCGUGCCAGCAGCCGCGGUAAUACGGAGGAUCCGAGCGUUAUCCGGAUUUAUUGGGUUUAAAGGGAGCGUAGGUGGAUUUUUAAGUCAGUGGGGAAAGUUUGCGGGUCAACCGUAAAAUUGCAGUUGAAACUGGCAGUCUUACGUACAGUAGAGGUGGGCGGAAUUCGUGUUGUAGCGGUGAAAUGCUUAGAUAUCACGAAGAACUCCGAUUGCGAAGGCAGUUCACUGGACUGCAACUGACACCGAGGCUCGAAAGUGUGGGUAUCAAACAGGAUUAGAUACCCCAGUAGUC
rnacentral:rRNA from 1 species